rnacentral:lncRNA from 1 species
AUAACAAGAACACUAAUAACGUUAUCAAUCUUCUCAUUUCUUGACAACAAUAUACAAAAUUUAGCAAAACAAGAACACUAAUAACACUAUCAAUCUUCUCAUUUCUUGAUAAGAAUAUACAAAAUUAGCGAAACAAGAACACUAAUAACACUAUCAAUCUUCUCAUUUCUUGAUAAGAAUAUACAAAAUUUAGCAAAACAAGAACACUAAUAAUACUAUCAACCAUCUCAUUUCUUGAUAACAAUAUAUAAAAUUUAGCAAAACAAGAACACUAAAAACACUAUCAAUCUUCUCAUUUCUUGAUAACAAUAUACAAAAUUUAGCAAAACAAGAACACUAAUAACACUAUCGACCUUCUCAUUUCUUGAUAACAAUAUACAAAAUUUAGUAAAACAAGAACACUAAAAACACUACCAAUCUUCUCAUUUCUUGAUAACAAUAUACAAAAUUUAGCAAAACAAGAACACUAAUAACACUAUCAAUCUUCUCAUUUCUUGAUAACAAUAUACAAAAUUUAGCAAAACAAGAACACUAAUAACACUAUCCAUCUUCUCCUUUCUUGGCAACAAUAUACAAAAUUAGCAAAACAAGAACACUAAUAACACAAUCGAUCUUCUCAUUUCUUGAUAAGAAUAUACAAAAUUUAGCAAAACAAGAACACUAAUAACAUUAUCAAUCUUCUCAUUUCUUGAUAAGAAUAUACAAAAUUUAGCAAAACAAGAACACUAAUAACACUAUCAAUCUUCUCAUUUCUUGAUAACAAUAUACAAAAUUUAGCAAAACAAGAACACUAAUAACACUAUUGACCUUCUCAUUUCUUGAUAACAAUAUACACAAUUUAGCAAAACAAGAACACUAAUUACACUAUCAAUCUUCUCAUUUCUUGGCAACAAUAUACAAAAUUAGCAAAACAAGAACACUAAUAACACAAUCGAUCUUCUCAUUUCUUGAUAACAAUAUACAAAAUUUAGCAAAACAAGAACACUAAUAACACUAUCAAUCUUCU